CAGUAGCCGCGGUAACACGGAGGGUGCAAGCGUUAUCCGGAUUUAUUGGGUUUAAAGGGUCCGUAGGCGGACUUAUAAGUCAGUGGUGAAAGCCUGUCGCUUAACGAUAGAACUGCCAUUGAUACUGUAAGUCUUGAGUAUAUUUGAGGUAGCUGGAAUAAGUAGUGUAGCGGUGAAAUGCAUAGAUAUUACUUAGAACACCAAUUGCGAAGGCAGGUUACCAAGAUAUAACUGACGCUGAGGGACGAAAGCGUGGGUAGCGAACAGGAUUAGAUACCCCAGUAGUCCCUGUCUCUUAUAC
rnacentral:rRNA from 1 species